rnacentral:rRNA from 1 species
CCUACGGGAGGCAGCAGUGGGGAAUAUUGGACAAUGGGGGAAACCCUGAUCCAGCGACGCCGCGUGAGUGAAGAAGUAUUUCGGUACGUAAAGCUCUAUCAGCAGGAAAGAAAAUGACGGUACCUGACUAAGAAGCCCCGGCUAACUACGUGCCAGCAGCCGCGGUAAUACGUAGGGGGCAAGCGUUAUCCGGAUUUACUGGGUGGAAAGGGAGCGUAGACGGCAGCGCAAGUCUGGAGUGAAAUGCACGGGCCCAACCCCGGAACUGCUCUGGAAACUGUGAAGCUAGAGUGAAGGAGAGGUAAGCGGAAUUCCUGGUGUAGCGGUGAAAUGCGUAGAUAUCAGGAGGAACACCGGAGGCGAAGGCGGCUUACUGGACUUUAACUGACGUUGAGGCUCGAAGGCGUGGGGAGCAAACAGGAUUAGAUACCCCUGUAGUC